rnacentral:rRNA from 1 species
UACGAAGGGGGCUAGCGUUGCUCGGAAUCACUGGGCGUAAAGGGUGCGUAGGCGGGUCUUUAAGUCAGGGGUGAAAUCCUGGAGCUCAACUCCAGAACUGCCUUUGAUACUGAAGAUCUUGAGUUCGGGAGAGGUGAGUGGAACUGCGAGUGUAGAGGUGAAAUUCGUAGAUAUUCGCAAGAACACCAGUGGCGAAGGCGGCUCACUGGCCCGAUACUGACGCUGAGGCACGAAAGCGUGGGAAGCAAAC